CCGCCUAGCUAUAGCAAGAGGGUGUGUGUGUCCUGGUUUUCUACUUGAAGAAGGCGCCGGUCUUCAUGGCGUCCUCGUUGGCCUCACCAAGAGCCGCCUCGCUGAGGUACUUGUCAGCAAGCUGCACACGCUUGACGUUCUCCUGCUCCUCCACCAGCAUGUGGCCGUACUCCAAGAGCUUCUCGAUCGUCAUCUUGGGCUGGUCGAACGUCGGCGGGCCGUCCUUGGAGUUGACGAGCUUCUUGCCGAUGUUCUCGAUGCCGGUCUCGGCGACCCACUUGCGGACCUCGUCAUCGUACACCCGGGCACGCAGGGCGCCGAAGAAGUCGAUGGACUGGCCGGGGAAGGUGUCGACGAGCUUGACGACGUCGGCUUCCGGGACGCCGUCGGUGCGGAAGAUGCCCUUGCAGACACCGAUCCGGUCCUCACGGGUGGGAGCCCAGUAGAACUUCUCCAUACGGCCGUCACGGAUGAGCGGCGCGUACAGGGUGGAGAAGUCGUUGCCGGUGACGAUGAUGGGGACACGGGGGUUCUCCUCCUUGUUGUACAUGCCGGGGAGCUGCACGUUGGUGGGGUUGUCGGCGAUGUUCAUCAGGGUGGCGUUCACCAUCUGGUUGUUGACGGUAUACUGGGUGGUCCCGCCCAUGCGACCGGCACCGGCGUCGAGAUCGUUGAUGAAGAGGCAGCACAUCUUGCCCUUCUUGAUGAUGUCGGCGGCCUCACGGUACCGCUGCCUGAUGAGCUUGGCGGGCUCUCCGGCGUUGCCGCUCUCCAGCUCUCCGGCGCUCAUCAUGAUGGGGCUGCGUGUGUGUGGGGAAGAUGGUCAUUUAUCUUAUCUGCUGUAUAUAUGAAAUCAAACCAAAAUUAAAGAUUGUUGCUUACGUGAUGCCCAUCUUGGCGAAGACAAGCUCACACUGGAAGGAUUUCCCUUGACCCUUGCCUCCCCAGAUACCCAGGAUGAGGGGCACCUUGAUGUUUGGCAGGGUCAUGAAGUUCUUGGAGAGGUGGACGACGAGCUUGUCCAUGAAGGCCGGGGCGAUGUAGAAGCCAUCCUUCAUGUUGUCCCACCCGGUGUAGUCCCUCAAGCCCUGGCUGAGGUACUCGUAGGAGCUGAGCACGGCCUCGUGGGUGCCGUCUCCCAUGGGUGCCUGGAAGAGGGAGUCGACGAAACCCUUGCCCCUGGUGAUGUCCUGCUGGUCGUCGGAGAUGUCGUUGACGAGGCCCCUCCACCUGUCUUUGUCGGUCUGCUUGGUCUCGUCGACAUCCUUGGCGGCCAUGACCUUGAACCUGUUGGCGCUGGAGCUCUUGACAUGGUAGUUCACGGCCGCGGUCGCUUGCGUCGACCUGAGCUUCUUCCCGAGGAAGCUGGCCGGGGUGGAGGC
rnacentral:lncRNA from 1 species